UUCCGGCGCGUCAACGCGGACCCGCCCCGCGGCUUCCGGCUUCCGGCUUCCGGCUUCCUGGGACGGGCCCGCUAAGUCAGAGUGCGAGGGUGCAGGUUAAGCUCAGGGAACAGACUUGAGUCAGUCACCGUGACAGAGAGGAAGAGCGCGAGGCCAGAAUGCUCCAGGCGGGGAACGUGCUCCGAGAGCCCGCGCCGGCUCUGACGUCAUAGGCGUGCGUCGGAGCAGGAACGUGGUCGGGCACUGACCAUGUGCCAGUCGUAAGCACUGAAGACUGGGAGGAAGAGGAGCCAGGAUCUGGCCUGGGCAGCCCACAUCUGUGCCAACAAACCACCUUCUACAAACGGGAAGGUGCCGGGGAAGGUGCCGUCUUUCCUGCCCCGAUACUCCUGAGGAUAAGGAAACAGCCUCUGGGAAGCUGAGGAACUGGACCAAGGUUACACAACUAUUAAGCAGCAAAAUCAAGAUUUAAAACCAAGUCUGCCUGCCUCCAAAGCCUAAAGCUAGAAUCAACGUAGCUGAUGCUUUGUUGAUAAAGCCUGAGCUUAAGCCCAGAGAAGACUGCAGUAUGGUUAACCCAACUUGUUAGAGAAGGCAGGUGUGUGUGUUUUUAAUGUUUUAAGUCAUCAAACCCAACAAGCUGUCAAUUGUGAGUCACCACUGUUUUAUGUACUAAAAAACGCUGCCAACCAAACGAUGACAUGCCGUCAACAGUAACACACACCCCGAUUUCUAAUGUUAACGUGUGGAAAAGUGUUCAUCUUAAAGAAGACAGAACAUGGUUUUAAGAGGUUUGGGGGGACUUCCCUGGCGGUCCAGUGGUCAGGGCUCCUCGCUUCCACUGCAGAGGGCAUGGGUUCGAUCCUUGGUUGGGGAACUAAGAUCCCACAUGCCAUGCGGCAACCCCCGCCUCCCAAAAGGUGCUUUGGAGGCAUAUUCUCUGUUACUAAGGAAACCCUACUGUCCAGAAACCCUGCAGAUCUUCUAGAUGUUUACUGCAGACCCCCAAGUUCAACGGCAAAUUGUUACCUGUGGGUAGCAGAUGAGCUGUCUGUAUAGAUUUGUGUCGAAUGAUCUUAUAUGUUCACAGUUUACGUUUAAAAACGGCUCUCCAAUAACGUUAAUCUACAGGGCAGAACAAACAAAUUAUAUCCUGCUAACCAUUUCAACCCCUAGUUUGAAUAUUCAGGUUAGUGUAUUUCAUUACCUCCCCAAGUCGCUGCAUGUACAGAGGCUCAGUCACGUCUAUGCCAAUGCUUUCUUCUUCUCUAGCCAGAGGAUCGAUGAAACGCUGAAGAAAUCUCUUAGCGUGGGGAGAGAAACAGUAAGCUUAAUGCAGUUAGGAACCAGCAACUACUCAAAAUAAAAGUUAUGAAUGCUGGGGGCCACUCAUCUUUUCAAGUUAGCUAAGACCUGGAAACAGCCCAAGUGCCCAUUUAUAGACAAUUAGCUUAAGAACGUGUGAUAUAUACAGAUUUGUAUAUGUAUACACAUAAUGGAAUAUUACUCAGCCAUAAAAGAGAAUGAAAUUUGCCAUCUGCAGUAACAUGGGUGCACCUAGACAAUACUAUACUUAGUGACAUAGGUCAGAUGAAGGCAAAUACUAUAUAUCAUUUUCACGUGGAAUCUAAAAAGUAACACAAAUGAAUCCAUAUACAAUACAGACUCACAGACACAGGAAACAAACUUAUGGUUACC